rnacentral:rRNA from 1 species
GGGGAAUAUUGGACAAUGGGGGAAACCCUGAUCCAGCAAUGCCGCGUGAGUGAUGAAGGCCUUAGGGUCGUAAAGCUCUUUUACCAGGGAUGAUAAUGACAGUACCUGGAGAAUAAGCUCCGGCUAACUCCGUGCCAGCAGCCGCGGUAAUACGGAGGGAGCUAGCGUUGUUCGGAAUUACUGGGCGUAAAGCGCACGUAGGCGGUUAUUCAAGUCAGAGGUGAAAGCCCGGGGCUCAACCCCGGAACUGCCUUUGAAACUAGAUGACUGGAAUCUUGGAGAGGUCAGUGGAAUUCCGAGUGUAGAGGUGAAAUUCGUAGAUAUUCGGAAGAACACCAGUGGCGAAGGCGACUGACUGGACAAGUAUUGACGCUGAGGUGCGAAAGCGUGGGGAGCAAAC